GAAGAAAAAUAAGAAGAAGGAGAAGAAGGAUGCUAUUCAAGAAGGAGAAAUUGAGUUGCUUGGUAGGACUGAUGAGCAACCUAGGCCUUCCCAAGGAUCAAAUGGCAAUUCUGGUCAUGUUGUGAUUCAAAUGUUUCGUGUGCGGAAAGAUCUUCUCUCAGUACUGGAUCACUUUGAAGAUAGAUGCAAAGAAUUUUUUGAUAAGGAUGAAAAGUUACAGAAACCAGUAUUCAAUUCUUUUUUACACUCACCGGAGGCAGUACCAUAUUCGCUGGAUUGAAAUUAGGCUGCUUGAAGAGUUUAGUUUUUUCUUUAGCAAUGAUGUUAAUGUUUUGGUUUGGUUCAAUUGUCAUGUUAUCUAACUCCAACAGGCGGAUUAAUUCGCUCAAUUGGUCUAUACAAAAUAUCAGACAACACUGCAGAAUCUUUGAAACUAAAGUGAAGUCUUUUACAACAGAAAUGAAUAAAAAACUUGAGCUGGAUGAUAUCGUUGUGGACUGUCCUGUAGCUUUUGACCAGUGUGUAUACCACAUUCGUCAGCAUUUACGCUCGCUACAAUUUUUUGUGCAUCCAAAAUUGUUAUUUUUUGUCAUUUUGGCUAUUACAGUCCUUAUUGGGUUCAUAAUGCCAAUGGUGGCAUUCACUGGGUGCUGCGAUGGUAUGAAGAAAAUCAAUUUCUUUUGUGUUUUUUGUUUUCCUUGUUUACAUUGACUUAUCUUUUUGAUUUUCUGUUUCUAUUUGUAGAUAAGCUGAAGGUCAUUUUGCAAAAACUAUUCACAAUAUUUUGUAAGGGGAUCAUGAACUCACAUGGGAACUUCACUACUGGAUGAUCUCCUUUGCUUCAAUAGGUAACAUAAAACAUAUCUGUUUACUGAAUGUAGUCUAAGCAAGUUUACAAACAUAUGUAAAAUAGACAGUGGAUUUCUUUCUCUGUUUUGUUUGUUGACAGAGUCAAGUUUACCAUUGAAGAUGAUAGUUUUUUAACUGGAAUGGGGAGCUUCUUGAUUACUUGCACUGUCUAACUAGUUAACUUGGCAGUUGUUAUCUGACUUUAUUAUCUGGAUUUUCUUUUUUCCUUUUGCUCUGGCAGGCAAGUUUUGCUAGUGAGUUUUUUGUUUUAAACUCGUGCUUCAUCUGCAAUAAUAUGUGAAAUUGGUUGACUUUAUCAAAUGACGUGUAAAAGAUUUUCUUAAGGAGAAACUUACUAUUUCUUGGUUGGAGCACAAUAAAUUUGUAAAUGGCUAGAUUUUAGAAAUAACCGUGUAAAAAAAAAUUAGCACAAUGCUUAUGCCUCAAAUUUUAUACAUACGUGAUAUUGCUUGAGUUUAUAGAUCUUGAGAAUAAUGUACAGUGAAAAAACUAGGCUAGUGUAGCUGAAAGAGAGAGCAAAAAGGAAAGCCGAAUUGGUUAAUCUAACAAGUAAGAUGGCUGUAAACACAUUACCUUUUACAUCAAGGAAUCACCUUUUAAGUGCAAGGAAAGUAACUAGGCACAUUGAUGUGCAAAAAUAUAGUUACAGUGUACACUGGCCUAUCUGGGAAUAGAACAAUUAAUUGGCACGCACAAUGAGUCGUUUGCAGGUUGAUAAAACGCUGCUUCAAGCAAUGAUUUGCUUUGUUCCUUAUAUGCACUAGAAUAAUUGAGAUACCAAAUUCUCUUGUUCGAGUUACCUAUUUAAUGAUUUUGUAUUCUUGAAGAAGAUCCUUCUAGAAUUGUUUUGCAUGUGUUGAAGCUUCACAUAGGUGCAUUGAAACUUGAAUAUUCUGAAGAUUUUAUUUUUUAGGAUAGCAGAAUUGUUGGGUUUGAAGUCAUAUUUAACUAGGGAGUUCUGCUCUUUUACUUAUUGAACAGUGUUUCCUCACUAAUUUGUUAGUGAACUGUCUUUUGUUUUAGGUGUGUUGAAUUAACUCUUCUAUGAGAAGGGAAUUUGAUACAUUUAUCUUCUGUUGAUGCUUUAUCCUAGUUAAUUUACUCCAAAGUGAUGCAGUUGGUGGAGGUUGUUUUUGUUGUUUAUUUUUCUUUAAGACAGGGUGCAAAAUACUGGAUGAAAUCUAUUGACAAAUUUGUAGUAUGUUGGACAUUUAAUUGAUUUCGGUUGAUUUGGUUAUCAUGUAAGUGGUGGAGCUAAAGGUACUGUAGAUAGAAUUUAUAAGAGUUUAGGGGAUUAUGAGACUCUGUUGCUAGCUUCUCUUUUUGAUUUGGUGUAUAAUUUUCAUGAUUACCUUAUGAAGCUUAGGGAAUGAGUUUGUUGUCAUUUGUACAA